rnacentral:rRNA from 1 species
CCUGAACGCUGGCGGCGUGGCUAAGACAUGCAAGUCGCACGGUGUAGCAAUACACAGUGGCGAACGGGUGAGUAAUGAAUCGCUAAUGUACCCCGGACUCUGGGAUAGCUAGCCGAAAGGUUAGGUAAUACCAGAUGAUAUACUUCUAUCGCAUGAUAGAAGUCUCAAAGGUCCGCCGGUCUGGGAGCAGGCGAUUUCGUAUCAGCUAGNGGUGAGGUAACGGCUCACCAAGGCGACGACGCGUAGCCGGACUGAGGAGGUUGGCCGGCCACAUUGGGACUGAGACACUGCCCAGACUCCUACGGGGGCGUGCAGUAACGAAUCUUCCGCAAUGCACGAAAGUGUGACGGAGCGACGCCGCGUGUGGGAC